CUUGCUUUAAGAUGAUGAGAGCUCCACGGUACAACCACUAAUGCAGUAAGGAUUCCCUUCCCCAUGCCAUAUCUGUCACCCUCAGUAUUUGAUAAGUAAGCAAUAGGUGCUACAGUUGUUCACUGCUUUCUGCUUAUACAGAAGAACAACGAGGUACAGAAACCAUCCUCUGCAAACUGCACUGAUUUAAUUCCAGCAUCUGCAGCAGUUUCCCUCACCGAGGUGACUGGCAAGAAGAAGUCAAAGUGCCGCCAGUACUAUUAGAUCAAGUGUCCUUGGCCCAUUAAAAGGAAAAGGUGAAAUGACAUCUCAACACCAUCCAGAGAGAAUUUUCCAAGACACAACCAACAUGCUUUCUUCUGAUACUAAUCCCAGUGUUUGAUAGGAAUGUUUGGUAAGUAUUAACAUGAGACUUUGAGCAUUCAUUGGCCACUUUUGGUUUUUCAGUCUACUUUGGCUA
rnacentral:lncRNA from 1 species